AAGAUUAUGUGCAGUGUAAGCAGAGGCAUGAAGGGAUAAGCGUGGUGAAUUAGAAAGAUCGUCCAGGCAGUAGGGAGGGUGCCGUAGACAGGGUGAGUCCAGGAGGAGAGGGCGGUAACGCGGGCCAUGCGUGCGUGAGUGGAAGAAGGAAUAGAAAGGGGAGAACAAGCCCGAAAGGUCUUGCACUGAGCCCAGCCCUCUGCUUUGAAAGCCCUCUUGGCCCCAACAGCCUGGCCCCGCGCUGACCCAGCCGACCCCUGCCCCGGUCUGCUGCCCUCAUCCCAGAGGAAGGCGCAGCAUGGUAAGAAGCCGGCCUUUACCGGAAAGUGGUGAUAUUGAUGAUAGACCUACUAAUUCUGCUCCUUGCCCAUGGUGGGAGGAGGGAGAAAUCAUGGCUCCCGGCCCCUGAAGGGGCUUACAGCGCAGCUGGUGAGAGGUAAGAAGCGGCAAAGGAGCAUCUGUGUAGGAGGGACCGGGAGGUUGAGAUCCGGGUGGGCUCUAGGAGGACUUCUUGGAGGAGGAACGGGAUUCAGCUGGGGAGAGGGGGAGGCUUUCUGAGGUUGUAGCUGUGCAAACAAAGGCAUUGAGAAGGGGUGGAAGUUUGGGAGGCUGGGCAGAGACGAGGGGACACUGAAGAAGGACCUGGCAUACAGUGACACCAAGCAGAUUUUCUAAGGAAGGAAUGGAAGGUGGUGGGAGAACGGAGGGGCUGAGAGUUGCUCUCAGAGGCCGGUCCCCCGAGCCCCAUCAGCUCUGUGGCAGACAGCUGCCAAAGCACCCUACUUGAACGGCCCUAGGGCAGACCCUCGUCCCCCCAGCUCCCCUCCUGGGCUUGCUCGGAACAUGAAGCUGAGGCUUAAGAACAGGAAUGUGGCCAAACCCGACCCCUGGGCCUCUUCCUCAGGGCCUGUCUCCACCUCAUUUCUUGCCAAGCAGCAGCUCCUCUAGUGCCCUGCUGGAGGCAGGGGUGUUUGUCACCCCAGAGGUGACGGACCGUCCAGUAACCCCCUACCAAGAUGGCAGCUUAGCAAGACAGCAGGGCCUUUGUCUGGUCCUGACCCUGCUGGGAGGCCCGGCCAGCCUGAGUUUGCUCAGUGUUAAUUAUUGACCAGGUGCCCAGGGACAGUGCCCCUCUGGCCAGCUGCAUGGAGGGCACUCAGGGCUGGGGCCUUGGCCUCCCACAGCAUCAGGUGGGGCUCACCUGGGUCCAGGUGAGGAGAGGACCCUGGCCUUGGGUGAGGAUCAAGGAAACCCAAGUGUUUCCCCCACUGCUCCUGGGGCCCAGUAUUAAGUGAGGUGCAGAACGGGCCCAGUCCAGAGUAGCUGAAAACUCUGUGUAUGGAACUGCCUUGUUCUGACCCUCCAGAAGGACAGGAGGGGGUAAUAGAAACACCUUAAGCCCCAACAGGAAGGAGAUGGAGGAUGGACAGAAGGUGAAGGUGUGAAGUUCUCUGGGGAGGACACCACAGGGACUCUUAGGCCCAGCGGCCCCACACGGAGCAGCACGGGACCACGGACCCUCUGAUGGGAACCACCAGCCUGACAGAGCAUUUGGGGGGUUGAUUCAUUCCGGGCCAGAGAGAAGAGGGCUCAGGACGCCAGCCCUGGCUCCACCACCUCUGACCAGGAGCUCCAGGUAAUUCUGACAUGGACUACUCCAGAGCCACCUGAGGAGGCCUCAGCCAGGAGCAAGGAGGAGGGUGCAUGGAAUGAUUUGCACAUCAGGAGACAGGAGGUAGAGGAGGAGAGGAGAGAGCAAGAGCCAUGUUGUUAACGGGACCUCCCGCUCCUGGUGCUCCUUAGAGUGUGAGCGGUCCCAGUUGGUCACCCUAAAUAGCCCUGAGAGCUGGGCCCAAUUACUGGUCCCUUUUGAUAGAUGAGGAAACGGAGGCUCAAGUUGGUCACCUGCCCAAGCGUCCCAGAGUUGAGGCAGAGCCGAGGCGGUCUGACUCCAGACCUGUGCCGUUGUUUUAUCUGCCAGGGGCAGGGUAGGGGGGACGGCAGGGAGAGGAGAGGCCCCCAGGAAGAGUGAAAGAAGAGAAUAGCCCAGGGGCCUGAGCCCCUGGCUCAGGGUGUCCCCGGGGUGGAGGUGGGUGGGGAUCUGGCUCCUUCAGAGACUGAAGCCUGAUCGCCCACCCCAUGUUCUCCCCAGGGGAAGGCAUCCUCGGGGGGCCUGGCCUCUGGGUGUCAGGCAAGUGUGUCCCAGGCCUUGAAAGGAAGGGCCCGCCAGCCUCACCCCCUCUCCUCAACCCCACCUCCCCUUCCCCUUUGACUUCACCCGUGAGAAGUCAAUAUUGAUGUUUUAUGACCCAGGAUAAACACACACUUUUUUCCUCCCAUGGAGGGGUUAUCUGGUCUGGAAGGUUAAUCAGUGACCACUGGGGGUGGGGGUAGCACCUUUCGUCUCUGAGAAGAAAGCACCCAUUCAAUUCAAUCCCUUCGGCCUGGCCCCUUCGCCCCUCCCCAGCCCAACUCUUUCACCCCGUCCCUGCCAUCCAUGGGACUGACCUGGCCCAGCCAGUGGGGCAGGCCAGGGCUUUUGGAGAUCUGAGGCUGGAGUCUGAGUUGCGGGGGCGGGGGGGGGGGUUGCUGGCGCUGUGAAGUAGGCUGCAUCCAAGGAAAGCAUCCCUGAAGCCCUUUGCCCUGUGCGUGGUGGUUUUCACGGCAAUCUGUUGGCAGGACAGGUGGCGCCUGCACGUGGCUGCCGUGGGUCCAGCUAGGUCAGGCGCGGUGAGAGGGAGCGAGCCCUGUCCCUCGGGAGCUGUGCGCACAGGAAAUAAGACUCACGUGGCAGAGCACACAGAGAAGACCCGAGGUGCUGCCGGCCAUUCCCCAACACGUGCGCCAGCCCUGAUUCACCUGCUUUGCGGCCUUGGAGGCUGGCUUAACCCCGCCGGGCCUCAGGUACCUCACCUCUCUUUCCAGGGGUGGGUUCAAGGAUCGGAAGAGAUCCUGCCUGUCCUUAAGAGUGUGGAGAAAAUAAAGUGACUAUAAUUCAA